UUUCUUUCUUACACACGUCUUUCUUUCUUACGCACGUCUUUCUUUCUUACACACGUCUCAGUAGUUGUUAUUCAGACUUACCUUAUGAAGGUGCAUAUAACGGUGCUUCCAUUGCGCGCUUGAAUACAUGGAAUUCAGCGCGUCUGUCGUUGUGAUUCUGGAUGGCCAGAUUGCUGGCAAGAAUGACAAGAAACUGCCAUGUGGAGAAUCAUGCGCUCAUAAUUUCUCUGCUCAUGGCAGCCGUUUCAACAGAGGGAGGAGCUGAGGGAGAUGGGCGUGGCUUCGCGAAGAAAACAUAAAUACCUCCUAUGCGCUUGCAUGACGAAGGAGCCCUACGUCACUGAUGCUGCUGGUUCAGCCUACUUCAGUCGAGGAAAAGGAAAAAAGAACAGCGGCGAAUAGAAAAGGAACAGUUCGGGUGCCGUCAAAUAAUUAUUUAUGUAUUUAAACUGCAAUUGUUCGGAUGCAAAAGAAAGAAUAACCCCCAAGCAUUGGUAAUAAAUAAAGGAAUGAUUCAACAUCCUUAA